rnacentral:misc_RNA from 1 species
GAUGAAGAACGCAGCGAAAUGCGAUAAGUAGUGUGAAUUGCGGAAUUCAGUGAAUCAUCGAAUCUUUGAACGCACAUUGCGCCCUUUGGUAUUCCUUAGGGCAUGCCUGUUCGAGCGUCAUUUAAACCUUCAAGCUCAGCUUGGUGUUGGGUGACUGUCCGCUUCACCGCGGACUCGCCUCAAAAUUAUUGGCGGCCGGUACAUUGGCUUCGAGCGCAGCAGAAACGCGAACUCGGGCCCGUCGUAUUGGCUCCCAGAAGCUAUCUUCACAAUUUUGACCUCGGAUCAGGUAGGGAUACCCGCUGAACUUAAGCAUAUCAAUAAGCGGAGGA